GCAGGAAGCUCACGGAACUCUUCGGAGGGAAGUGAAGGGAAUGAGCGGCGGACGGGUGAGUAACACGUAAGGAACCUGCCCCAAGGAUUGGGAUAACUCCGAGAAAUCGGAGCUAAUACCGAAUAGUUCUUCAGACCGCAUGGUCUGAUGAUGAAAGGCGCUCCGGCGUCACCUUGGGAUGGCCUUGCGGUGCAUUAGCUAGUUGGUGGGGUAAUGGCCCACCAAGGCGACGAUGCAUAGCCGACCUGAGAGGGUGAUCGGCCACACUGGGACUGAGACACGGCCCAGACUCCUACGGGAGGCAGCAGUAGGGAAUCUUCCACAAUGGACGAAAGUCUGAUGGAGCAACGCCGCGUGAGUGAUGAAGGUUUUCGGAUCGUAAAACUCUGUUGUAAGGGAAGAACAAGUACGAGAGGGAAUGCUCGUACCUUGACGGUACCUUGCGAGAAAGCCACGGCUAACUACGUGCCAGCAGCCGCGGUAAUACGUAGGUGGCAAGCGUUGUCCGGAAUUAUUGGGCGUAAAGCGCGCGCAGGCGGCCUUUUAAGUCUGAUGUGAAAGCCCCCGGCUCAACCGGGGAGGGUCAUUGGAAACUGGAAGGCUUGAGUACAGAAGAGAAGAGUGGAAUUCCAUGUGUAGCGGUGAAAUGCGUAGAGAUGUGGAGGAACACCAGUGGCGAAGGCGACUCUUUGGUCUGUAACUGACGCUGAGGCGCGAAAGCGUGGGGAGCAAACAGGAUUAGAUACCCUGGUAGUCCACGCCGUAAACGAUGAGUGCUAGGUGUUGGGGGGUUCCGCCCCUCAGUGCUGAAGCUAACGCAUUUAGCACUCCG
rnacentral:rRNA from 1 species